AAGAGACAGCAGUCGCCACGGUAAAACGUAGGUGGCAAGCGUUGUCCGGAAUUAUUGGGCGUAAAGCGCGCGCAGGUGGUUUGAUAAGUCUGAUGUGAAAGCCCACGGCUCAACCGUGGAGGGUCAUUGGAAACUGUUAAACUUGAGUGCAGGAGAGAAAAGUGGAAUUCCUAGUGUAGCGGUGAAAUGCGUAGAGAUUAGGAGGAACACCAGUGGCGAAGGCGGCUUUUUGGCCUGUAACUGACACUGAGGCGCGAAAGCGUGGGGAGCAAACAGGAUUAGAUACCCCGGUAGUCCCUGUCUCUUAUAC
rnacentral:rRNA from 1 species